rnacentral:rRNA from 1 species
GACGAACGCUGGCGGCGUGCCUAAUACAUGCAAGUAGAACGCACAGUUUAUACCGUAGCUUGCUACACCAUAGACUGUGAGUUGCGAACGGGUGAGUAACGCGUAGGUAACCUGCCUGGUAGCGGGGGAUAACUAUUGGAAACGAUAGCUAAUACCGCAUAAUAUUGAUUAUUGCAUGAUAAUUGAUUGAAAGAUGCUAUUGCAUCACUACCAGAUGGACCUGCGUUGUAUUAGCUAGUAGGUGAGGUAACGGCUCACCUAGGCGACGAUACAUAGCCGACCUGAGAGGGUGAUCAGCCACACUGGGACUGAGACACGGCCCAGACUCCUACGGGAGGCAGCAGUAGGGAAUCUUCGGCAAUGGACGAAAGUCUGACCGAGCAACGCCGCGUGAGUGAAGAAGGUUUUCGGAUCGUAAAGCUCUGUUGUAAGAGAAGAACGGGUGUGAGAGUGGAAAGUUCACACUGUGACGGUAUCUUACCAGAAAGAGACGGCUAACUACGUG